rnacentral:rRNA from 1 species
AGAGUUUGAUCAUGGCUCAGAUUGAACGCUGGCGGCAGGCCUAACACAUGCAAGUCGAGCGGCAGCACAGGGGAACUUGUUCCCUGGGUGGCGAGCGGCGGACGGGUGAGUAAUGGCUGGGAACCUGCCCUGAUGUGGGGGAUAACAGUUGGAAACGACUGCUAAUACCGCAUGAUGUCUACGGACCAAAGAGGAGGACCUUCGGGCUUCUCGCGUCAGGAUGGGCCCAGUUGGGAUUAGCUAGUUGGUAGGGUAAUGGCCUACCAAGGCGACGAUCCCUAGCUGGUUUGAGAGGAUGAUCAGCCACACUGGAACUGAGACACGGUCCAGACUCCUACGGGAGGCAGCAGUGGGGAAUAUUGCACAAUGGGCGCAAGCCUGAUGCAGCCAUGCCGCGUGUGUGAAGAAGGCCUUCGGGUUGUAAAGCACUUUCAGCAGUGAGGAAGGUAGUGUUGUUAAUACCAGCAUUAUUUGACGUUAGCUGCAGAAGAAGCACCGGCUAACUCCGUGCCAGCAGCCGCGGUAAUACGGAGGGUGCGAGCGUUAAUCGGAAUUACUGGGCGUAAAGCGCAUGCAGGCGGUCUGUUAAGCAAGAUGUGAAAGCCCCGGGCUUAACCUGGGAACCGCAUUUUGAACUGGCAGGCUAGAGUCUUGUAGAGGGGGGUAGAAUUUCAGGUGUAGCGGUGAAAUGCGUAGAGAUCUG